UGCAGUCGUGCGAGAAAGCCACCUUCGGGUGGUGAGUAGAGCGGCGCACGGGUGAGUAACGCGUGGGUAAUCUGCCUUUAGGUCUGGAAUAACCUCGGGAAACUGGGGCUAAUACCGGAUAAGACCACGAUGUCCUCGGACUUCGCGGAAAAAGAUGGCCUCUUCUUGAAAGCUAUCGCCAAGAGAUGAGCCCGCGUCCCAUUAGCUUGUUGGUGAGGUAAAAGCUCACCAAGGCUCCGAUGGGUAGCUGGUCUGAGAGGAUGAUCAGCCACACUGGAACUGAGACACGGUCCAGACUCCUACGGGAGGCAGCAGUCGGGAAUUUUGGGCAAUGGGGGAAACCCUGACCCAGCAACGCCGCGUGAGGGAUGAAGGCCUUCGGGUCGUAAACCUCUGUCGGGAGGGAAGAAAGGUCUCUGCGCAAAUAGUUCAGGGGCUUGACGGUACCUCCAAAGGAAGCGCCGGCUAACUCCGUGCCAGCAGCCGCGGUAAUACGGAGGGCGCAAGCGUUGUUCGGAAUCACUGGGCGUAAAGCGCGUGUAGGCGGUUA
rnacentral:rRNA from 1 species